UCAUACCCUGUCCAACAAUCCAAGGCAAUUCAGUGGAAAACAGACAUCUGCAAACCCUGUUUCCAUUACCAUACUACUAUGGUCUUUUGUUUUGGAUCCUCAUUGCCUUGCAUCAUGGAGAAACACUGCAGUCCAAAUCCAUUAGCCUGCAGCAUGAAACACCAUUAAUGUCUAGGAUCAAAGCACUCUACUGCAUUAAGCCAAAAGCCAGGUCGCAACCAUGUUGCAAGUUGGUUUUGCUGGAAACAAAUGCCCAGCCUCAUCAAACCACA
rnacentral:lncRNA from 1 species